rnacentral:rRNA from 17 species
AGGUAAGCUACUAAGAGCGAAUGGUGGAUGCCUUGACUGGUAAAGGCGAUGAAGGACGUACUAGACUGCGAUAAGCUACGGGGAGCUGUCAAGAAGCUUUGAUCCGUAGAUUUCCGAAUGGGGCAACCCAAUGUAUAGAGAUAUACAUUACCUAUAUAGGAGCGAACGAGGGGAAUUGAAACAUCUUAGUACCCUCAGGAAAAGAAAUCAAUAGAGAUUGCGUCAGUAGCGGCGAGCGAAAGCGCAAGAGGGCAAACCCAGUGCUUGCACUGGGGGUUGUAGGACUGCAAUGUGCAAGAGCUGAGUUUAGCAGAACAUUCUGGAAAGUAUAGCCAUAGAGGGUGAUAGUCCCGUAUGCGAAAAACAAAGCUUAGCUAGCAGUAUCCUGAGUAGGGCGGGACACGAGGAAUCCUGUCUGAAUCCGGGUCGACCACGAUCCAACCCUAAAUACUAAUACCAGAUCGAUAGUGCACAAGUACCGUGAGGGAAAGGUGAAAAGAACUGAGGUGAUCAGAGUGAAAUAGAACCUGAAACCAUUUGCUUACAAUCAUUCAGAGCACUAUGUAGCAAUACAGUGUGAUGGACUGCCUUUUGCAUAAUGAGCCUGCGAGUUGUGGUGUCUGGCAAGGUUAAGCAAACGCGAAGCCGUAGCGAAAGCGAGUCUGAAUAGGGCGCUUAGUCAGAUGCUGCAGACCCGAAACGAAGUGAUCUAUCCAUGAGCAAGUUGAAGCUAGUGUAAGAACUAGUGGAGGACUGAACCCAUAGGCGUUGAAAAGCCCCGGGAUGACUUGUGGAUAGGGGUGAAAGGCCAAUCAAACUUCGUGAUAGCUGGUUCUCUCCGAAAUAUAUUUAGGUAUAGCGUUGUGUCGUAAUAUAAGGGGGUAGAGCACUGAAUGGGCUAGGGCAUACACCAAUGUACCAAACCCUAUCAAACUCCGAAUACCUUAUAUGUAAUCACAGCAGUCAGGCGGCGAGUGAUAAAAUCCGUCGUCAAGAGGGAAACAACCCAGACUACCAGCUAAGGUCCCUAAAUCUUACUUAAGUGGAAAACGAUGUGAAGUUACUUAAACAACCAGGAGGUUGGCUUAGAAGCAGCCAUCCUUUAAAGAAAGCGUAAUAGCUCACUGGUCUAGUGAUUUUGCGCGGAAAAUAUAACGGGGCUAAAGUAAGUACCGAAGCUGUAGACUUAGUUUACUAAGUGGUAGGAGAGCGUUCUAUUUGCGUCGAAGGUAUACCGGUAAGGAGUGCUGGAGCGAAUAGAAGUGAGCAUGCAGGCAUGAGUAGCGAUAAUUAAUGUGAGAAUCAUUAACGCCGUAAACCCAAGGUUUCCUACGCGAUGCUCGUCAUCGUAGGGUUAGUCGGGUCCUAAGUCGAGUCCGAAAGGGGUAGACGAUGGCAAAUUGGUUAAUAUUCCAAUACCAACAUUAGUGUGCGAUGGAAGGACGCUUAGGGCUAAGGGGGCUAGCGGAUGGAAGUGCUAGUCUAAGGUCGUAGGAGGUUAUACAGGCAAAUCCGUAUAACAAUACUCCGAGAACUGAAAGGCUUUUUGAAGUCUUCGGAUGGAUAGAAGAACCCCUGAUGCCGUCGAGCCAAGAAAAGUUUCUAAGUUUAGCUAAUGUUGCCCGUACCGUAAACCGACACAGGUGGGUGGGAUGAGUAUUCUAAGGCGCGUGGAAGAACUCUCUUUAAGGAACUCUGCAAAAUAGCACCGUAUCUUCGGUAUAAGGUGUGGUUAGCUUUGUAUUAGGAUUUACUCUGAAAGCAAGGAAACUUACAACAAAGAGUCCCUCCCGACUGUUUACCAAAAACACAGCACUCUGCUAACUCGUAAGAGGAUGUAUAGGGUGUGACGCCUGCCCGGUGCUCGAAGGUUAAUUGAUGGGGUUAGCAUUAGCGAAGCUCUUGAUCGAAGCCCGAGUAAACGGCGGCCGUAACUAUAACGGUCCUAAGGUAGCGAAAUUCCUUGUCGGUUAAAUACCGACCUGCAUGAAUGGCGUAACGAGAUGGGAGCUGUCUCAAAGAGGGAUCCAGUGAAAUUGUAGUGGAGGUGAAAAUUCCUCCUACCCGCGGCAAGACGGAAAGACCCCGUGGACCUUUACUACAGCUUGACACUGCUACUUGGAUAAGAAUGUGCAGGAUAGGUGGGAGGCUUUGAGUAUAUGACGCCAGUUGUAUAUGAGCCAUUGUUGAGAUACCACUCUUUCUUAUUUGGGUAGCUAACCAGCUUGAGUUAUCCUCAAGUGGGACAAUGUCUGGUGGGUAGUUUGACUGGGGCGGUCGCCUCCCAAAUAAUAACGGAGGCUUACAAAGGUUGGCUCAGAACGGUUGGAAAUCGUUCGUAGAGUAUAAAGGUAUAAGCCAGCUUAACUGCAAGACAUACAAGUCAAGCAGAGACGAAAGUCGGUCUUAGUGAUCCGGUGGUUCUGUGUGGAAGGGCCAUCGCUCAAAGGAUAAAAGGUACCCCGGGGAUAACAGGCUGAUCUCCCCCAAGAGCUCACAUCGACGGGGAGGUUUGGCACCUCGAUGUCGGCUCAUCGCAUCCUGGGGCUGGAGCAGGUCCCAAGGGUAUGGCUGUUCGCCAUUUAAAGCGGUACGCGAGCUGGGUUCAGAACGUCGUGAGACAGUUCGGUCCCUAUCUGCCGUGGGCGUAAGAAGAUUGAAGAGAUUUGACCCUAGUACGAGAGGACCGGGUUGAACAAACCACUGGUGUAGCUGUUGUUCUGCCAAGAGCAUCGCAGCGUAGCUAAGUUUGGAAAGGAUAAACGCUGAAAGCAUCUAAGCGUGAAGCCAACUCUAAGAUGAAUCUUCUCUAAGCUCUCUAGAAGACUACUAGUUUGAUAGGCUGGGUGUGUAAUGGAUGAAAGUCCUUUAGCUGACCAGUACUAAUAGAGCGUUUGGCUUAUCUUU